rnacentral:misc_RNA from 1 species
GAUGAAGAACGUAGCGAAAUGCGAUACUUGGUGUGAAUUGCAGAAUCCCGUGAACCAUCGAGUCUUUGAACGCAAGUUGCGCCCGAAGCCAUUAGGCCGAGGGCACGCCUGCCUGGGCGUCACACGUCGUUGCCCCCCCCAUCUACUCCUUCGGGAUUGUGGGGGGCGGAUGAUGGCCUCCCGUGCGCCUCGCCGCGCGGUUGGCAUAAAUGCCAAGUCCUCGGCGACGCACGCCACGACAAUCGGUGGUUGCGAAACCUCGGUUGCCCGUCGUGUGCGGUCGUCGCGCAUCGAGGGCUCGAAAAAAUUGCCGAGUUCCGGCUCGGCUUUCAACGCGACCCCAGGUCAGGCGGGGUUACCCGCUGAAUUUAAGCAUAUCAAUAAGCGGAGGA